UACGUAGGGGGCGAGCGUUGUCCGGAAUCAUUGGGCGUAAAGCGCGUGUAGGCGGCUCGAUAAGUCUGCUGUGAAAGUCCAGGGCUCAACCCUGGGAUGCCGGUGGAUACUGUCGAGCUCGAGUCCGGAAGAGGAGUGUGGAAUUCCUGGUGUAGCGGUGAAAUGCGCAGAUAUCGGGAGGAACACCAGUGGCGAAGGCGGCUACCUGGACCAGCAUUGACACUCAAGCACGAAAGCGUGGGGAGCAAACAGG
rnacentral:rRNA from 1 species